rnacentral:snoRNA from 1 species
AUUAGAUGAUGAAUCUAUCCCGAAACUGAUUUCAUGUGAAUGAAACUCUUUUAUAUGGAUCUGACUUCUGAUAU